AGGGUUUGAUUAUGGCUCAGGAUGAACGCUAGCGGCCUAAUACAUGCAAGUCGAGGGGCAGCACGAGUACUUGUACUUGGUGGCGACCGGCGCACGGGUGCGUAACGCGUAUGCAACCUACCCUUAACUGGAGGAUAGCCCGAAGAAAUUCGGAUUAAUACUCCAUAGUAUCACCAGAUGGCAUCUGAAGGUGAUUAAAGAUUUAUUGGUUAAGGAUGGGCAUGCGUGAGAUUAGCUAGUUGGUGAGGUAACGGCUCACCAAGGCAACAAUGUCUAAGGGGUCUGAGAGGAUGAUCCCCCACACUGGUACUGAGAUACGGACCAGACUCCUACGGGAGGCAGCAGUAGGGAAUAUUGGUCAAUGGGCGAAAGCCUGAACCAGCCAUGCCGCGUGCAGGAAGACGGCCUUCUGGGUUGUAAACUGCUUUUAUAUAGGAAGAAAACGCCCUUGCGAGGGAAACUGACGGUACUAUAUGAAUAAGCACCGGCUAACUCCGUGCCAGCAGCCGCGGUAAUACGGAGGGUGCAAGCGUUGUCCGGAUUUAUUGGGUUUAAAGGGUACGUAGGCGGCUUUUUAAGUCAGUGGUGAAAUCCUGCAGCUUAACUGCAGAACUGCCAUUGAUACUGGAGAGCUUGAGUAUUGUUAAGGUAGGCGGAAUUGAUGGUGUAGCGGUGAAAUGCAUAGAUACCAUCAGGAACACCGAUUGCGAAGGCAGCUUACUGGGCAAUAACUGACGCUAAGGUACGAAAGCGUGGGGAGCGAACAGGAUUAGAUACCCUGGUAGUCCACGCCGUAAACGAUGAUCACUCGCUGUUGGCGAUACACUGUCAGCGGCCAAGCGAAAGCGUUAAGUGAUCCACCUGGGGAGUACGCUCGCAAGAGUGAAACUCAAAGGAAUUGACGGGGGCCCGCACAAGCGGAGGAACAUGUGGUUUAAUUCGAUAAUACGCGAGGAACCUUACCUGGGCUUAAAUGUAGAUUGCAUGAAGGGGAAACCUUUACUUUCCUUCGGGACUAUCUACAAGGUGCUGCAUGGUUGUCGUCAGCUCGUGCCGUGAGGUGUCGGGUUAAGUCCCAUAACGAGCGCAACCCCUAUCGUUAGUUGCCAGCGGGUCAUGCCGGGGACUCUAACGAAACUGCCGGUGUAAGGUGAGAGGAAGGUGGGGAUGACGUCAAAUCAGCACGGCCCUUAUGUCCAGGGCUACACACGUGUUACAAUGGUCGGUACAAAGGGCAGCUACCUAGUGAUAGGAUGCUAAUCUCGAAAACCGGUCUCAGUUCGGAUUGGAGUCUGCAACUCGACUCCAUGAAGCUGGAAUCGCUAGUAAUCGCGCAUCAGCCAUGGCGCGGUGAAUACGUUCCCGGGCCUUGUACACACCGCCCGUCAAGCCAUGGAAGCUGGGGGUACCUGAAGUCUGUAACCGCAAGGAGCGGCCUAGGGUAAAACUAGUGACUGGGGCUAAGUCGUAACAAGGUAACC
rnacentral:rRNA from 1 species